rnacentral:lncRNA from 1 species
AAAUAAUUUUGUAUUAACUUUAUAUAAAAUUUGUUAAAUAUAUUUAAAAAUACUCCAAGAAUGAAUUUUGUUGCAAUGCUGCAGAUGUGGUAUUAAUAGUGAAUGAUUAAAUGCAUGUAUUAACAAAAUAUCUGUAAGACAUUAUAUUGCAAAUAAAAAAAUCAGAAAUCCUUAAUGAUAAGCAUAGAACAGUAUAAUUUAUAGAAAAUACUUUUAAGAACCCACAUCUAACCCACAAAAACAAUGGACCUAGAAAUGCACAUUAUUGUCCAACUUUGAAUCACCAUCAUUUUGUAUUUCAUACCCUGAGUAGAUUUCAAAAUUAAAUAAAAGAUGACAUUACACAUUAAGUACUUUAGCUCUGGAUACCAUUAUGAAACUGCCUAAACAUAUAACCCAAAAACAAGAAUAGUUAUUACAGAUGUAAGUGAUCAUCACUUCUUUUUUUAAAUUGUACAGUGAAAUGUCCCGUAAGAAGCAGUAAAUCCUAAAUGUUGGACUGUUCUAGGUAAUUGGCAAAUAAUCAUGCCCUGGCAUUUUGCCAAAAUCACAAGUGUUCCAUUGCUAAUGUAUUUUAUAUAUUGAUGUACAGAUUAUUUAAAGGUACUCUUAUCCUUUCCUUUCAAACAGGCCUUGGGAUACUUGCUAUGACAACAAUACAUAUUUGGUAAAUGCAGGAUAAAAUCUUUUGAACAUCUAACUAGGUUAAAAAGCUCAGCCAAAAAAUUAGUACUAAACAGUAUUUGGGAAAUUGGGCUCCAAAAGAGAGACUGAAAAGAUCAAGUCAAACAAAUGGGAUCCAAAAGGCGAGUUAGGAUAGCAGAUACAGAGAAACAAUUUUUGGACCGUGAGCAGUUCAACACAGUUUAAUAUUUACAUAGGAUUCUAGAAAUUAAUUGGCUAACUAAAGCAUACUAGAGUUGGGGGUAGAAAUGACCAACUUAGUAACUUAAACACUGCUUUUUGGCAAGUGAAUAAAACUUUUUUGGUGACUUUUUUCAGGAGAAAAUUAAAAACAGAUUAUGGACUUGAAGCACAAAAGGUCUUUGAACCCUUGUGCAGCGUGGGAUGCAGCAUGCACCAGACAUAAGCAUACAGGAUUUCUGGGA